UACAGAGGUCCCAAGCGUUACUGAGAAUCACUGGGUUUAAAGGGUGCGUAGGUGGUCCGUUAAGUCAGUUGUGAAAUCCCCGGGCUCAGCCCGGGAACUGCUUCUGAUACUGGCGGACUUGAGGCCAGUAGGGGUCACUAGAACUGACGGUGGAGCGGUGAAAUGCGUAGAUAUCGUCAGGAAUGCCGGUGGUGAAGACGGGUGACUGGGCUGGUUCUGACACUGAGGCACGAAAGCGUGGGGAGCGAACGGG
rnacentral:rRNA from 1 species